rnacentral:rRNA from 1 species
UACGUAGGCAGCAAGCGUUGUUCGGAGUUACUGGGCGUAAAGAGUGUGUAGGCGGUUUCCUAAGUUUGGUGUGAAAUCUCCCGGCUUAACUGGGAGGGUGCGCCGAAAACUGGGAGGCUUGAGUGUGGGAGAGGGAAGUGGAAUUCCUGGUGUAGCGGUGAAAUGCGUAGAUAUCAGGAGGAACACCGGCGGUGUAGACGGCUUCCUGGACCACUACUGACGCUGAGACACGAAAGCGUGGGGAGCAAAC